UACGAGGGGGGCAAGCGUUGUUCGGAAUUAUUGGGCGUAAAGGGUGCGUAGGCGGUUUUGUAAGUCUUGUGUGAAAUCUUCAGGCUCAACUUGAAGACUGCACGAGAAACUGCAGGGCUUGAGUGUGGGAGAGGUGAGUGGAAUUCCUGGUGUAGCGGUGAAAUGCGUAGAGAUCAUGAGGAAGACCAGUGGCGAAGGCGGGUCUCUGGACAGUUCCUGACACUGAGGCACGCAGGCCAGGGGAGCAAACGGG
rnacentral:rRNA from 1 species